rnacentral:tRNA from 1 species
UGGCUCAGUGGUAGAGUGCUUGCCUCAUAUGCAUGAGGCCCUGGGUUCGAUUCCUCAG